UACCGCGGUUAUACGAGAGGCCCAAAUUGAUAAGCUCCGGCGUAAAGUGUGGUUAAGGACCAACAAUACACUAAAGCUGAACACUUACAAAGCUGUUAUACGCUCCCGAAAGUAAGAAGAACAACCACGAAGGUGGCUUUAUUAAACCUGAACCCACGAAAGCUAAGGCA
rnacentral:rRNA from 1 species